ensembl:lncRNA
CGAUUCCUCCUUUUUUUGGUCUUCCUCUAUUACGCUGACACACGCACACACGUACUCACACUCAGACAUCAAGUUACAACAGCUCCAGUGUAGCUUAGCAUCUUGAGCAACACUGUGCUGACACGCGUUGGCUUUUGGGACCCCUGAGGGACCUUCUGACGCAGGGAGAAGUCUUAUGGAAAACGGGAGCUGGAGUGUUUGGGGAAAGGGGGAGACAGCCGCCAUGAGAGGAAUGUUAACUAUGGGGUGAAAUGAAUGGGCAUCAAUGGCUUUAUAAAAGCUAUAUGCAAUCUCAUGGAUUAACUUUAACUUGAAGAUGGAUUUCCUGCAGAAAGUAGAUGAUUGAAAGCAGUAUUUAUAGUAUAUAGUUAUACAGAAAGCGGUCUGAUGUCCAGGGGCUCUUCAUAACAACGGGGUGUGGUAAGAAAGUCUGAUGUUGGCCCGCUGAGUUCUUUCUCAAUCCUGGAACAGACAGGACUCCUGUAUUUUGUGGAAUUAAAGGUUAAAGAUCAGGCAGGUAAGAAGGGGGCGUGUCCAUUUUCAAAUGUGAUCUGACAUUGACAGGUUGCUACUAAAGGAAAGCUAAAGCUCGUGUAAUAGCACCUUUCCGCAGCAUUAAUUUGACACGUCGUUGCAGGGAAACAGGUGCAAUUAAUAACACUAUUUAAGGCUCUGUUGCAUUCAGGCACACAGAUCAUGCAUACUGUCACACUGGAAAGGCUGUCGCGCACAAUCUACAACGUAACAUAAUUAAUAGGCAAAGCCAUUUUAUUUAGCACAUUUCAACACAAGGCAAUUCAUGGUGCUGCACAUAGAACCAUUAAAACAUGCAAGCGUGAAGCAGGGAGAUUUAAAACAGUAAAAGGACAUUGAUUAAAACAUUUAAAAAAAAUAAAUAAAAAGAUAGAAACAUUAAAAAAGGUAAAAUAGAAUAAAAUGUGCAGUGCACAGCCGACGCAGGCGCUGCUGCAUUUUCUGGACGUACAUUUUUCAGAAACCACAUUUACUUCAUCUCCAUCUGUAGGAAGCAGACUGCAGAUCAGAUAAAGGCCUCAAACCGUGGCUAUAAAACCAAAGCGAUCUCAUGGACAGAUACACUGAGCGAGGGAAGGUUUCUGUGUCCAUAAUGCAUGCUGCGGAAUCCACUUUUCUAUUGGGCGAGUAAUCAUUUCAUAGUUUGGUACUCAAAUUGUCCUGAAAGAAGAUAUCGGGAUAAUCACCUCACAGUUCUCCACCAGACACGUUUAAAAUAAAUACAUAAAAAGGACGUGACAGGAAUUACAUUGUUAAUCAUCAAAUCAGCGUCCUGUUGUGAGACGUGUGUGGGAGCUUCUCGUGGCAUGAAGAUAUAGACUUUAAUGCAAGGCGCCGUUAUUCCAACUGGAUCUAUCAUCCACGGAAGCCUAAUUCUUUGCGUACUUAUAGGCAAGAAGAACAGUAAUUCACAUCAUUUACGGCCACAGAGGACGAGACAAUAAAAUCGCGAGGCAUUAACAAGGGUUUCUCAGAGACCAAAUUAGUUUUCAUGCAAUUAUGAGUCUCCACUAAUUCUCGACACACUGGCGCUGAGCGAGAAGGGGCGGAGGCGCCGUGCAUCAACACACGCACACGCACACACACACACACACACACACACAGCAAACACUCCUGCGGCAUGAUUGAGUGCAGUUGGUCUUGUUAGUACCUUGUCAUCACGGGAGGACGCAGUUAAUUAAAAGUGCGCGCGUGCGACGUUCCGCCCACCCUUCCUCACGCCGCCCUCACAACUUCAUCAGCUCAACGCAACGAACGCACCGCCACAUACGCCGAUGCGGGUCCUCGCGCAGUGUAAUUCACGUUACACUGAUCCGCGCGCGGGUCCCCGGGAGCAGCGCGCGACCAUGCGCCAGUGCGCGCGCGUUCUUUGAUUGGGGAUGUUAGAGGUGACGCCCCACGCCGCCGCAAUUACACGUGCUGAGAGCGCGCGAGCGUGCUCGUGUGCGCGCGCGCCUGUGCCUGCGUGCGCGUGUGCGCGCGCGUGGGACGUGAUCUCGGAUCCUCUAUGGAAGUUUUUAAUAGAGCUGCAGAGACAGAUGGCACACAUUCAUUACGGCGUGAUGGGUUAACACAUCUAAACCCCCCCUCUCACCCCCCCCUCCUCACCCCUUCUACUCCUCUCAACCAGCCGUUCUUUCCUCCCCCCCAAACAAUCUAUGCAUCUAGUCAAGAGUCAGCACCGACUGGGCCUCGAAUCCCCCCCCAUGUUUCUCUGGAGGGAAGGAUUCCCCACUUCAUCCCAGAAAUGUCUCAUUCAUUUGGAAGGUGUCCGCACCGGCACGUCUGAAGCCGCCGAGAAGCUCCGCAGCAGCAGAAGGCCUCAAUAGGGGGAGCUGAAAUAUUAAACUUCUGAAAACCUGGUGAAGUGUGUGAGAUUGUGUCCAUUCUCCAGCAGCCCACCCACCCCUGUGCUCCAAUUCCCUCCCAGGAGAGAUUGAAAAGUCUCUCAGAGCCUUCCGCCUCAUUUCUACGCCUGUCAAAGAUCUCCGCGGUGGGAAAAGAGGAGAAGAGUGCUAAGGAGGGUGCGCGUAGAUCAAACGCGUUAAUAAGUAGCCCAAUGAAGGCGGCAACUCCAAACGCCAUUACCCGCGAUGACACGCUGCCAAAUCACCAUCAGAACCUCCCUGUCAGCUUCUAAGGGAAACGGCGAGGGGGUGUCGACAGUUAGGAGGCUCUAGGUAUGUGUGAGGAGAUGAGAGGUAAUUGCCUCUUGUUAUAGAAAAGAGGUGGAAGUGGAACAGCGUAUGUGUGUGUGUGUGUGAUAGUGAGAGGGGGGGGGGGUAAAAAAGAGAUAUUAAAGUCACACAAUCCGGCUUUGAAAGGUCACCUGUGAUGCAGAUGUGUCCGUUAUGAACUGCUGAACUCUGCACACAUGCAGGCUCGCUUCAGUGAAUCCCUGUGUUUCCACUCACGGUUGUCAUGGUUCCCCCCCCAACCCCCCCACGCCUUUCACAGUCUGUAUUUGUCAAACGUGAGCCCUGGUGUUAUGGCCCUGGUGUUAUCGCCCUGGUGUUAUCGCCCUGGUGUUAUGGCCCUGGUGGUAUCGCCCUGGUGUUAUCGCCCUGGUAGUAUCGCCCUGGUGUUAUCACCCUGGUGGUAUGGCCCUGGUGGUAUGGCCCUGGUGUUAUGGCCCUGGUGGUAUGGCCCUGGUGUUAUGGCCCUGGUGUUAUGGCCCUGGUGGUAUCGCCCUGGUGUUAUGGCCCUGGUGGUAUCGCCCUGGUGUUAUGGCCCUGGUGUUAUCGCCCUGGUGUUAUGGCCCUGGUGUUAUGGCCCUGGUGGUAUCGCCCUGGUGGUAUCGCCCUGGUGUUAUCGCCCUGGUGGUAUCGCCCUGGUGUUAUGGCCCUGGUGUUAUGGCCCUGGUGGUAUCGCCCUGGUGUUAUUGCCCUGGUGGUAUCGCCCUGGUGGUAUCGCCCUGGUGGUAUUGCCCUGGUGUUAUGGCCCUAGUGGUAUCGCCCUGGUGUUAUAUCCCUGGUGGUAUCGCCCUGGUGUUAUAUCCCUGGUGGUAUCGCCCUGGUGUUAUCGCCCUGGUGUGGCCUGAAAAAAAGAGAAUUGGAUCUUUGUUUGCGACGGAGAAGUGAGAUGAGCGGCGGCGGUAAACGCUGCCUGUGACCUCUCUGUGUCGCUCCUCGUAUCUCGUAAGUGGCUAACCUGUCUUCACCUCCGUCUCGCUCCUUCGCCGGCCUUCUGCCCUCCUCCCGCUCGCUCACAGGGCGCUUUAUCGCUACGUCUUUUCUCCGCUUUCCUAUCUGCCCUCGAUCUGCGCCUCCUGUUAAGAUCUCCCACGUCCUCGCGCUGUUUCUAUUUUCUCUUUGUUCGGAGUCAUCGUCUUUUCUCCGUCACCUUCGCGUUUUUUUUCCCCGAGCUCGAAGCGCUGGCGGCAUUCUCCCCGCCUCCGCCGACCUUUGGCCCCUCCUCCUCGGCCCUUUUUCCGUCCCACACCGUCGCGCUCCUUUCCUGCCCUCUUUGCCAUCGCAUUACCCUGCGUUUCAUUCCUUCUCACAUCUCUUCCUCACCCGGUCCACUUCACCUCAUGGCGUCCUCUUAAACCCCCCAUUUCCUCCUUAAAUCUCCCCUUUCAUCACUCAUUUAGUGCUGCUGAAAUCCUCUCCUUUCUCCCCCUGCUUCCUCCCUCCCUCACUCCCAGCAUCCCGUCCAAACCUCUGGCCAGCUUUAGUCAACCCCCCCUCCCCUCCCCGUCUCUAUCUCCAGCCUCCCCCAUUCCCAUGCCCUCCCUCCCUCCCCCAUUCCUCCCUCUCUCUUUCACCUGCCGCCGUGCCGUCUGCGAGAUAAGCAGAGCCAUCGGCUUCCUGACAACAUACGGCCCCACGUGCGCCGGCGCGACCCGCAGCCGGGGCGGCCAUUGAACUUGUCAGAGAGAAAGCGGCGUCUCGGGGGGCGCGAGGCGGGCUGCUAGCGGACGACGCAGGACUCGCAGAGGGGAGGGGGGGUUGUUUAAAGUAUGAAUUGUUGUUUGGACACACCGGAGACGUUUGACCUUGUCCACCUCGAGCAGGCUGUCAAGAGUUGUAGACUGGAUACGGUUGCGCAGGGGGGGAGGGAGG